GACGAACGCUGGCGGCGUGCCUAAUACAUGCAAGUCGAACGAGAGCGACCGGUGCUUGCACUGGUCAAUCUAGUGGCGAACGGGUGAGUAACACGUGGGUAACCUGCCCAUCAGAGGGGGAUAACAUUCGGAAACGGAUGCUAAAACCGCAUAGGUCUUCGAACCGCAUGGUUGAAGGAGGAAAAGAGGCGCAAGCUUCUGCUGAUGGAUGGACCCGCGGUGCAUUAGCUAGUUGGUGAGGUAACGGCUCACCAAGGCCGUGAUGCAUAGCCGACCUGAGAGGGUGAUCGGCCACAUUGGGACUGAGACACGGCCCAAACUCCUACGGGAGGCAGCAGUAGGGAAUCUUCCGCAAUGGACGCAAGUCUGACGGAGCAACGCCGCGUGAGUGAAGAAGGUUUUCGGAUCGUAAAACUCUGUUGUUAGAGAAGAACAAGUGCUAGAGUAACUGUUAGCGCC
rnacentral:rRNA from 1 species